AGCGGACCUUUCUGGAAGCAUCCGGCUCGGUGGGAGUUGCGCGGCGCUGGCGGCCCCGUCCCCCAGCGCGGGGGGGGGGGGGCAGGAGGAGGACAAGGGUGCUGUAUUAGGUAGAAUCCGGCCGCCAAACGCGGCAGCAGCGGCCUGCACUGGGUGCCGUGAAGGCGAAGGGUACGGACAGGCACACGGCAGGAAGGUGUGAUGUCCCAGGCGCCAGCGAGCGAGAGGCAGGCAGCAGGCCUGCGGGAGGACUGUGAGGGCGGCCGCAGAAGGCGACGCUGGGGGCUGUUGGCCACUGCCGGUGUCGGUGGGAGCUUGGUGGCACUCUAUGCUGUGGUCACCCCCUUCGUGACCCCGGCUCUGAGGAAAGUGUGCCUGCCCUUUGUUCCUGCAACAUCCGCUCAGAUCCAGAAUGUGCUGAAAAUGUUAGAGAACAGAAGCGGCUCUUUAGUUGACAUUGGUAGCGGGGAUGGCCGUAUUGUGAUAGCAGCUGCAAAAAGGGGAUUCAAAGCUGUUGGUUAUGAAUUAAAUCCCUGGCUAGUCUGGUACUCCAGAUACCGUGCCUGGAGAGAUGGGGUACAUCAGAACACCAAAUUUUAUAUUUCAGACUUAUGGAAGGUUUCUUUCUCCCAUUAUACAAAUGUUGUUGUUUUUGGGGUACCUCAAAUGAUGCCACAGUUGGAGAAGAAGCUGGAAGAAGAACUUGAGUGUAAUGCCAGAAUCGUUGCCUGUCGUUUUCCUUUCCCUUGCUGGAUCCCAGAUCAUACUACUGGAGAGGGAAUAGACACUGUGUGGGCCUAUGAUUUGAAGUGUUCUAGAGGAUGUGAAACAAAAAGCUUGGAAAUUACACCAGAGGCAGAAUCCUAAACAUCUAAUUUGGGUUUUUGUACUGAAUUUUUUGGCUUUGACUUCACCUGUUAAAGAUAAGAUUAAUGUGAAUAGAGUCCCAGCAUUUGGAGAUGCAUAUUCACUGAAAUAACUGAAGUAUACUGGCUAUCUGAAAGCACACAAAGGUUAGUGAAAGGUGUAGUUAAAUGGCUUAAUGUAGUUAGUAAAAAUUAUGAGAAAGUUUUAUAGAAGCAGAAAACUUUAACAUGGAAAAUGGGAGAAAACAUGGUUUGCUACUGUUCAGGGGAAUAUAUGUGCAAGUUAAAAUGCUCAAAUUGGCAAACUUAAAGUGUGCUUUUUUUCUGAGCCUACAUAGCAUUUGGUUUUGGUGUUGGAAGUGGUGUGCAAUUGGUUUCUCAAAUGAGCUGUGGUUCCCAAAUGUCUUCAUUAUCUAUGCCAGGUGGGCAUAAUGCUGCAUGCAUCAAACUGGUGCAGACUGAGUGUGAUGACGAUACCAAUGUUUUACACAUCAGCCUUGAAUGUGUACUUUUUAAAGUUGAAUAUGACACAACAAGCAAAUAUAACAAGUUGCUUAUUCAUUAACACAAGUGCAGCCCUUGAUUAUCUUCAUGUAUUUUAAUUUAACUUGUUAUGUGAAGACAAAACUUCAGAAAUGUGCUCUUACUGAACACUUACUGGUCUGAGCCUUUGCAAAUGACCAUGAUUUUUUGUAACCUCUCUGACUUGGGAACGGUUUCAAAAGUCACCUACUUGGCAGCGAAGUGUCACCACUUCUGUGUGGUCAAACCUUGGAUAAGGUAUGGGUAAGAGUUGUUUACUGGAAUAUGUCAUGAAGGCGCUCUGUGAUUCCUAAGCCCGUUGGUCUGACUAGUUCAGUUAAAUCUUAUCAGACCUCAUUUAAUUUAUAGUGAGAGGGGAAAGGUUUUCAGUCAGCCUUUUUUUGCCCCCUCUACUUUUCUAUGCCAUCUCAUGAGAUCUCAAACUCAUUGCAUCGCUGCAUGGCUUUUCCUUGGAAGUGAAGCAAGUUCUCUUCAUCUUUUUGCUGAUACUGGUUUGCAGUGGAGUACUCUCACUGCCCUGACAUUUUCCUUUUCUAACAUGGUUACAGCACUUUUCUGUUUUGUAACAGUCUGAUUACUUGGUCCUUCGUUUGGUUCCCAGGUAAAGUUUUACUGUUUUCACCCAUUAACAGUUAGUCAAAGUUCAUAGUUAGCCUCCCCUAGCCCCAGUUAACAUAUAGACUGUUAAACAGUGACUAUGUAAGUUUGUCAGACCUUUGCUUGUAUGAUACUCAUAGAACAAAGCUCAAACAGGCUAGGAAAUUGUCACCUAACAAAGUUACCACACCUAAAUUACCUCAGGCCAAGAGAAGUGCUGAGACCCUGCAAUUUCAGGUAAAUACAAAGCCUGUGACAUUUUAUUAGGCACUGGGAAAGUGCAUUUGCUCUACUAUAGUAUCUGACUUGAAGAGAGGUUAAAUGUUAUUUGGGAUGUGUAUUUUAUUUUUGGCGAGAGGGGAGGAGGAAGGAGAAUUUAAAAUACAAAUCUACACAGAGAUUUGAAAUGGAGCUGUCAAAUGGUUUUGUCCUGAUAACGUAUACAGAGCAGAAGAACGGAGCAAAUGUAUCCGCUCUGGAGUUUACAAAGGAGAGAUGAUUUCAGCCUCACAUGGCAAGGCACAGCUGUAGAUGUGGAGACUGUAUAUGUCGAAGAACACUGAUUUUUGGAACUGCUUAAAUGUGAAAAUUAUAUUUUCAAAACACCUGACCAGCUGCUACUGAAGCCUGUUUAAAAAGCCAACAGAUCCCCUGAAACUCCUUAAUGCUGUAAUGUCUGCAGCUGCCCAUGCCAGAACUCUGGUCCAGAUGAGCAGAAAUGACCAUAGCUCUUGCAUAAGCUCUCUUUAUUCUUGAUUUCUUGAUUGAAAGUGGAAGUGUGAGGAGAAGACACGAAAUGAGUGAUUAAAAACUUGAGGGUCGUUUUAAGUUCUGGGAUAGUAAAAUGUGAGUGGUGUGGCAUAUAGCUGAAAUCCAAGGGGUAUUCUCUGUCACUACCACUCUAGCCCCUAAGGUUUGAUAUUGUCUUUUUUCUUCCAGAAAAUUAUGUAGCUCUUCUUGAAUGUAUACCUCUUUUUCUGUCUUUCCCAUUGUUUUUUUUUCAAGCUUUUUCAGAGUGUACACAGAUCAAAAUAAUUUAUAUGUCCAGAUGUACCGUUCUCUAAAUUGUCUACAGGGACCCUCAUCAUCUGUGUUCAGGUAUAUUUUAUUGUUUCUUCCUUUUUUUAGCACACAUUAGCCAAAUUUAUACUUGGACUACCUUUAUGCUCAAUGCAUAACUAAGCUUUGUGGGUAUGAUCAAUACCAAUUACGUUUAUUUGCAAACACAGAUCUCACACAGAAGCAGUUCUAAAAAGACUUUGAGCAGGAACAGGACAAGUAAUGGUCAUGACGUGAAAAUACUAAUGUUACUUAGUGACAGGGAUGGUAGUCUCCUGCCAUUGAGGUUCUUUUAAUUUCAGUUGUCAGUCUGAUAUGUCAAGCAAAGACUAGUAGCAAAGCAGCAUUGUUGUGUGGUAUUUAAAAGAAAUAUAUUUUCUAACACUGUCAACAGAGGCUGCCUUCUGGUUUCAUCUAAAUUGUUAAGAACUGUUACUGUUCUGAUAAAGAGUAUGUUGGUGGGAGAAUAUAAUUGGCUGAGCUAAUACAACUAGAGAGCAUCUUGAAGUGUGUAUUCUAUAGUACUUUCAGAUAAUUUCUUUACCCUUUCCUCUUCCCCCCCCAAAAAGAUACCUUUAGAGUGACAACAUUGCAGAUUUAAAAUGGCAACUACAUUUAUCACCCUUAGAAAUUAUAGAUUAGGAAACACCUUCUAAUAUGAAAAAAGUUGCCCGCUUCAGCAACUAGGUCUUAUUUACCAUAGUGCAUUGAGUAUAAUGUAGGUCAGAUCCAGACUGACUUAACGAACAUUUUAAGUUUCUCAGAAAAAGUUAGCACUUCUUGUGGGUCUCCUGGACAUGCAAUCUGAAUUAGGUUGUUUGCUUAUUCUAAUAAAUGCUGAUCAAACAGCACUUUUCUCAGGAUUAUUUGUCUACUGCAUGAAAAUUAGGUAGUCUAAGCUCUUUCCAGGAAACAGGAAACUUGAACACUGGAUUGUUCAUGAGGCUUUGUCUAUAGCUGUUUUCUUCAUGUUUUUCUGUACUUUGGAUGACUGUGAACAUCAGAUAAUUGGAGUAGGGACUUUUGCCUGCUUGGGUGAUACUUUUAUGUGUAAGGACAAAGAACAAAUUAGAGGCUGAAACAUACCUUUAAUCCCUUUCAGGACAACUAAUCAAAAGUGAUCCUUUCUCUGGUAUUGUCUUAAUCUGACUGGUAACAUUUUCAUUUCUGCAUGAAAAAAGUAGAUGUUGCUUAUGAUUCAUUUACCUAUUCUGUUGUAUGCCUGAAGAAUCUAUGUUGGCAAUACAAGUCUCUUUCCAUUUCUGUCCAAAA